UAUAUACUCCCUCCGUCCGAAAAUACUUGUCGUAGGGAUGAAUGUAUCUAUAUGUAUUUGAGUUCAAGAUAAUCCAUUGGUAUCCAUUUUUAUGACAAGUAAUUCCGGACGGAGGUAGUAUAUA
rnacentral:pre_miRNA from 1 species